CGGGAUGAGCUCAAAUUUAAAAUCUGGCGUCUUUCAGGCGUCCGAGUUGUAAUCUAUAGAGGCGUUUUCCGCGCCGGACCGCGUCCAAGUCUCUUGGAAUAGAGUAUCAAAGAGGGUGACAAUCCCGUACUUGACGCGACAACCGGUGCUCUGUGAUACGUUCUCAAUGAGUCGAGUUGUUUGGGAAUGCAGCUCUAAAUGGGUGGUAAAUUCCAUCUAAGGCUAAAUAUUGGCGAGAGACCGAUAGCGAACAAGUACCGUGAGGGAAAGAUGAAAAGCACUUUGGAAAGAGAGUUAAACAGCACGUGAAAUUGUUAAAAGGGAAACGAUUGAAGUCAGUCGUGUGAAAGGUAUUCAGCCGUCUCUGGCGGUGUAUUUGCCUUUCACGGGUCAACAUCAGUUUGAUCCGGUAGAAAAAGGCGGGAGGAAGGUGGCACCCUCGGGUGUGUUAUAGCCUCCUGUCAUAUGUGCCGGACCAGACUGAGGA
rnacentral:rRNA from 3 species